rnacentral:lncRNA from 10 species
ACAACCAGAGUUUUAAAGCUAUUCUAAUUUCCUAUAAUUCAAGAGAUUUAGUAAAACUCGGUAGUAGUUAGCUGUGACUUAACCUGCUUCUUAUCAUAAAUGGUCUAAAGUAUUUCCAUCUCAUUUCAUUCCUUUUAAAGCAAAAAAAAAAAAAAGCUGUAUCUUUUUUUCCAUUUCAGAAAGCAUUUCAAACAAAAUAUUAUUUGAAUUUUUUGCAAAGCUCAUUUUAUUUUCCUUGAUUUUCAAUUUAUGCGCAUUUUAACCUUUAAAUACUUUCCUGGAACCUUCUUUCUGGUAUAUCAAAAGCAGAAGUGUAGAGUAUUUUAUAUCAUGGCCUUUUUUCCUCUCGAGUCUCAAGCAACAGGGGACUGUUAGAAUUUAUGUAAUGUAUACAUACAGGAUGGAUUUUGGAUCACACCUUUUAAAGUCCUUUCUCCAAAAGUAGAUUUUUAAAGGUCUCCAAUACUUUCUUUAACAGACUGGAUAAAUCAAAGAAACAAUUUUAGCUAAUUGCUCAUUCUUUUUCCUUUUUUAUAAAAUCCAGUUCAUGAGUCAAGGUUUAGGAACUGGGCAAAAUAUAUUAUAUAGAAAACUGAAGAUGAGAACAUUCCAUCAGUAAUGAUCCAAUAAGUAUUUUUUUUCUCAGGGCUGAGAUAGAUAGCUCAUUUAUAAAUUGUCUGUUUUUUUAAAGACAGGCUGAAUCAAGAACUUAGUGUAUCUAUCAGUUUUGAAACAUGCCCUGAAGCACAAACACAAAGAGAGCAGAUCUCAGCAAGAGGAAUGAGGUCUGUGUCACACCUGGCUGUGAGCCUGAUGGAAGCUUCAAAGAGGGAAGGAGCUGUUUUCAGGUUGCAGAGAGGGCAAGUCGACUUCAUAAAGCCAUUUUUCUAAGCUUUUAAAAAAAUUCUUCACCAAAGUUCUAAAAAUUUUCUUGAUUCUCUAAUGUGCCUGAAGCCUGGGAAAAAAUUUUACUUGAUUUUAAUUAAAAUCUUGUAUGUUUUAUCAGCAAAAUAGGAAAAAAUUCUGAUGGGAGGUUUCCCUUCCUUUUUCUGCCCAUAUUCCCUGAAUAUGCUUUUUAUGUGUGUGUGUGCUGCAUUGUAUAGAUUUCUUAACAUCAAAAAUAUGUCUCUGGUAGAGAUAUUUGCUGUAUUCCCAUUGAAAAAUAUCUUGAAUUCUUAUAAUCAAAAGCUGAGCAUAGAAACAUGAAGAUAAAUUCUUCAAAGCAUUCAUCAAAGAAAUGGCUAUAAAGUGAUAAUAUUCAGUAAAGUACAGGGGUCAUGAGUGCUAUCACACUCUUAGCUACUUAAGGCCAUAUUAAAAUUUCUUAUAUUGACACACUUGGAGAACUUGUCUCUCUUUGCAGCCAUAGGUCUGGAAUUAAGAUCUCUUGUGGUCUGUUAAGAAUGCACCAUUAUAUGAGAUCAUGUAAACCCUACCCUCACAAAAGAAUAACCAUACUAGAAUGACACAGAUCACAGGAAAAUCAUAAACCAGGCCAUAUUUACAUACUACAGCUAGAAGAUAAGUCAGAAAUUUAAAAUAUAAGACUGUCAUCUUUAGUUUUGUCUUGAACCCCAUGGUCUUCCAAUUUCUGCUACUCACACAAGUCUAUUACAUUUUUCUUUUUCCAUCGAAACUUUUUCAAAUGAUAAUGUAUACAUUCUCCUUAAACUACUUUCUACUUAAACUAUAGCUCUAUACAAUCUUUUCUCACCUGAACUGCAGGAAAUCUGAUAUCUGAAACACCACCAAACAUCCAAAUGUAUUACUAGUCAUGUCUUAAUCCUUAUCCUCCAGUUGAUAUGAUUGACAAACCCUUUCCUUUCUAUAAGGUUCCACAUCUCUUGUUCAUAUCUUACAUACUGUACUCUCAUUAUUGUCAUUCUAAUUUCUUCACCUUCUCUUUACUAUACAUUUCCAAAGUUUGUAUGGGUUUUCAGUUUUGUUUUUGUUUCUGUUGUUGUUUUUUUGGCUGCUUGCUUGUUCUCCAUUUCCUUAAAAACCAUUACACUAUCUUCUCAUCAAUCUUGAUACCACUCUUUCAUGAUCUAGCGGUCUCCAAAGUUUCAAUGUGUCAGUGUAGCUUAUCAUCACAUUUUCAUAUUUUUUCCUAAUUUUUUUCCUUGAGAUCCAGCUUUACUUUAUAACUACAGGCUGGGGAGCUCUCCCUGAAUGUUUCAUGAGCAAAUCAAACUUAACAUGAUGAAAAGGACAUCUAAAAGGAUAUCCUCUUAACCAUAAAUUCUUCUUGACUUGUCAAGUCUGUAAUUGACAUCGAUAUCUUCUCAAGCCUCAAGGCUAUUCAUUACCUCAAUGCUCAUGCUAUUCCAUGAUCUCUCAGUCAGAAAUAAGCCACUGAAUUCCCAAGAAUUUUUCUGAACAUUUUUGUGAUGCUUAUCAAGUCUUGAUUUACUCUGCUAUUUGGCUUCAUCUUACAUACCUUACUGUGCUAAAAACUUGUCUAAUAUCAUAUUUUUUUCGAACACAGAGUUUCCCCAGAAAGUAUUCAUAUGAUGAUUGUUAUCUAAGUAAAUAUAAUUGAUAAUUAAUUCUGUUCACUCAGAAAGCCACUCAUAGAAGGAAUAAUUAAUUCUGGACUAGUUUAAAUGCACAGUCUUUCCUAAAAUACCUAUGACCAUGUGGACCCUGUAGUAGGAACUAGCUUCAGGGAAAGGUGCAGUUCUCACAUUCCAGAAGAUUCACUCCAGGGCAGACACCAGGUUAAAAGAAGGAUUUUGAAUAAUAACAGAUUUGCUGACCCAGGUUAAAAAUAUGAAUCUGUGCUAUUGGCCACAUAAUUGAUUUUAAAGAAAAGGCCCUGCAGUUAUUCAUUCUUGCUGAUAUCUCUGAAUGGUGAAAACUCAUAUUUCAACACAACCACUGCCAGUCAGGAUUCUUCACAUCUAAUCUUUGGCUCCUAUUCAUUUUACCUGGUGAUGAUGACAUACUCUUUGCCUUUGAAAUCCAGUAAAUUUCAUCUAAUAUGUUGGAUACUUGCAUUCCAAUAAAGAGUAGCCUGGGAA